CGGCCGCGUCGACAGAGUUUGUAUCCUGGCUCAGAACGAACGCUGGCGGCAGGCCUAACACAUGCAAGUCGAGCGAGAUCUUCGGGUCUAGCGGCGGACGGGUGAGUAACGCGUGGGAAUAUGCCUCUUGGUACGGAAUAGCCUCGGGAAACUGGGAGUAAUACCGUAUGUGCCCUUUGGGGAAAGGCCGAAUCAAAUCCGUGAUAGCUGGUUCUUCCCGAAACUCGACNUUUAGGUGUCGAGCGUCACGUGUUUCUUCCCGGUAGUAGAGCUACUGGAUGGACAUGGGCAGGUCUGGGGAGGCGAAGGCAACGCAAGGGGAUAGGG
rnacentral:rRNA from 1 species